GACGAACGCUGGCGGCGUGCCUAAUACAUGCAAGUCGAACGCAGUGGGGACGGGUGAGUAACACGUGGGUCACCUCCAAUCAGAGGGGAUAACACUUGGAAACAGGUGCUAAACCGAUACUGAUGGAUGGACCCGCGGUGGAUUAGCUAGUUGGUGAGGUAACGGCCCACCAAGGCCACGAUGCAUAGCCGAUCGGAGAGGGUGAUCGGCCACACUGGAACUGAGACACGGCCCAGACUCUUACGGGAGGCAGCAGUGGGGAAGUUUCGGCAAUGGACGAAAGUCUGAUCGAGCAACGCCGCGUGAGUGAAGAAGGUUUUCGGAUCGUAAAACUCUGUUGUUAGGGAAGCGGUACCUAACCAGAAAGCCACGGCUAACUACGUGCCAGCAGCCGCGGUAAUUC
rnacentral:rRNA from 1 species